rnacentral:lncRNA from 1 species
UUAAAUAAAGUUUUAUUUAAACUCUAAGUCGCGCGUUGAUGACGUCUACAAGGAGCGCUGUGUUUGGAGGUUCAUGUUCGUGAACCGGCGGGGUUGAUGACAUUUACGCGCGUCUGAAGGCAUCGCUCGUGCAGGGCUGAACUCUCCACACCGCCGGAUUCGGUCCGGUCCGGUUCCAGACGCCCAGAUCCGCCAUCUUGGUUUGGUUCGGGAGGUCAUCCGGCGGUUCUGAUUCCAAACCGAACCGGAUCGAUGAAUGUGAUCAGAUGUCUGUCAGCCUCAGUUCAACAGUAGGCGUGUUUGAGUUGACCAAGCUGCUGCAGGAGGGGGCGGAGCAAGACACCUGAGAUGAAGGUCCUCCAUGUUGACGUCACAGUUGACCUCUGGGACCUUCCGCUGCUCAGGCUCCGCCCCUGAACACACGACCUGCUGCAGCCUUCUCAGGCUCCGCCCCUGAACCCACGACCUGCUGCAGCCUUCUCAGGCUCCGCCCCUGAACCUUCUACCACCUGUGG